rnacentral:rRNA from 1 species
GCCCCGGUAAACGGCGGCCGUAACUAUAACGGUCCUAAGGUAGCGAAAUUCCUUGUCGGGUAAGUUCCGACCUGCACGAAUGGCGUAAUGAUGGCCAGGCUGUCUCCACCCGAGACUCAGUGAAAUUGAACUCGCUGUGAAGAUGCAGUGUACCCGCGGCAAGACGGAAAGACCCCGUGAACCUUUACUAUAGCUUGACACUGAACAUUGAGCCUUGAUGUGUAGGAUAGGUGGGAGGCUUUGAAGUGUGGACGCCAGUCUGCAUGGAGCCGACCUUGAAAUACCACCCUUUAAUGUUUGAUGUUCUAACGUUGGCCCGUAAUCCGGGUUGCGGACAGUGUCUGGUGGGUAGUUUGACUGGGGCGGUCUCCUCCUAAAGAGUAACGGAGGAGCACGAAGGUUGGCUAAUCCUGGUCGGACAUCAGGAGGUUAGUGCAAUGGCAUAAGCCAGCUUGACUGCGAGCGUGACGGCGCGAGCAGGUGCGAAAGCAGGUCAUAGUGAUCCGGUGGUUCUGAAUGGAAGGGCCAUCGCUCAACGGAUAAAAGGUACUCCGGGGAUAACAGGCUGAUACCGCCCAAGAGUUCAUAUCGACGGCGGUGUUUGGCACCUCGAUGUCGGCUCAUCACAUCCUGGGGCUGAAGUAGGUCCCAAGGGUAUGGCUGUUCGCCAUUUAAAGUGGUACGCGAGCUGGGUUUAGAACGUCGUGAGACAGUUCGGUCCCUAUCUGCCGUGGGCGCUGGAGAACUGAGGGGGGCUGCUCCUAGUACGAGAGGACCGGAGUGGACGCAUCACUGGUGUUCGGGUUGUCAUGCCAAUGGCACUGCCCGGUAGCUAAAUGCGGAAGAGAUAAGUGCUGAAAGCAUCUAAGCACGAAACUUGCCCCGAGAUGAGUUCU